UACGUAGGGUGCAAGCGUUGUCCGGAAUUAUUGGGCGUAAAGAGCUCGUAGGCGGUUUGUCGCGUCUGCUGUGAAAACGCGAGGCUCAACCUCGCGCCUGCAGUGGGUACGGGCAGACUAGAGUGCGGUAGGGGAGAUUGGAAUUCCUGGUGUAGCGGUGGAAUGCGCAGAUAUCAGGAGGAACACCAGUGGCGAAGGCGAGUCUCUGGACAUUUCCUGACGCUGAGGCACGAAAGCCAGGGGAGCAAACGGG
rnacentral:rRNA from 1 species